CAACAAAAAACGUAAAAUAACUCCAGGCACAAGUGCCGCAGGAAAACUAGAUACAGAAAAGCAGCGAUGGCUGCAAGAAUUACCAUUAAGAAACUCCUUCAGCUCACUAAUGGAAGAAAUAGACGCUGACCCGACAAGUGAAACCACAACUAAUUCAACUCACAUUGCAAAACCACCACCAAUAUUUGUUGAGGUCCAAAUAAUAGACCCGCUUAUUAAUCUACUAAACAAUAUAGUCGGGAAGGAUAAUUACACAAUAAAACAAACAAAAUUAGAACAAGAAAAAAAUGCUAUAUACCACACGUAUCAGCUCAAAGCGGAAAGGAACUACAAAAUAGUUACAAGAGG
rnacentral:misc_RNA from 1 species